CAGUGUGACACAACAGGAAUGCUAAGACAGUGCUAAGAAAACACAGAGGGGGCAUCACAAGGCAUCAAACACAACCGAGAAGUGAAGAACAGCUUCUUGAAUUAGCUGAGGGAGUAAUGAAACAUGUUGCAGCAGAAACCGCGGCGAGCUUUAAGAUGAAGAGCUGCAGGCGACAAGCUGCACGCCUCCGACUCCUCAGCAAGAUGGGCGCCUUGGAACCAAUUGGUGUUGAAUAUCAGACAGGCUGGUGGUGUGUGCAGGGGUCGGAG